CCCGAAGGCUUGCUCCCAAACAAAAGAGGUUUACAACCCGAAGGCCUCCAUCCCUCACGCGGCGUCGCUGCAUCAGGCUUGCGCCCAUUGUGCAAUAUUCCCCACUGCUGCCUCCCGUAGGAG
rnacentral:rRNA from 1 species